rnacentral:tRNA from 1 species
GUCCCCCUUCGUCUAGAGGCCCGAGGACACCCUUUCACGGCACGGUAACAGGGGUUCCGAAUCCCCUAGGGGACGCCA